CUGGAACUCAACACGCAGCACACAGUAGUUUGUAAUAAGAGGCCACCAUGUCUAUUUCUUAUCUGUUUAGUUUAUUAUUGACAAUCCUGUUAAUUCAAGGCUGUUGGAGUGGAGAAGAAACCAAGAAUGUUAGUUGUACAAGCCUCCGAACUGGAACUGCGUACAAAUACUGUGUAAAGGAGAAGGAGAAUCCUAUAUGUGAGCAGUGGCAAUCAGUGGUUUCCAAUAAGACGUCUACGUGGCUUGCUGAACUUUGUCAACAGAAAAACACUACACAUACACACAAUGUGAUUGAUGUCAGCUACUCCUGCAUCACCCUCCUGGACUGUGUCAAUGUAGACCACACUGCCAUAAG
ensembl:lncRNA